rnacentral:rRNA from 1 species
UGGGGAAUAUUGGACAAUGGGCGAAAGCCUGAUCCAGCCAUGCCGCGUGUGUGAAGAAGGUCUUCGGAUUGUAAAGCACUUUAAGUUGGGAGGAAGGGCAUUAACCUAAUACGUUAGUGUUUUGACGUUACCGACAGAAUAAGCACCGGCUAACUCUGUGCCAGCAGCCGCGGUAAUACAGAGGGUGCAAGCGUUAAUCGGAAUUACUGGGCGUAAAGCGCGCGUAGGUGGUUUGGUAAGGUGGAUGUGAAAUCCCCGGGCUCAACCUGGGAACUGCAUUCAAAACUGACUGACUAGAGUAUGGUAGAGGGUGGUGGAAUUUCCUGUGUAGCGGUGAAAUGCGUAGAUAUAGGAAGGAACACCAGUGGCGAAGGCGACCACCUGGACUAAUACUGACACUGAGGUGCGAAAGCGUGGGGAGCAAACA